rnacentral:lncRNA from 1 species
GGGAGUUAAAUGCCAUAUUGAUGGUUUAACUCUACAGUGUUGAUUUAAACUCAAAAGCUAGUGUUACCGCCUGAAGUCUAUCAUUUCCGUUACUUGCCUGCAGUGAGGCGGGAAACCAGACAGCUUUUUUUUCACUCGACUGGAUCGGACUGGACACGCUCGUGAGUGGGAGCAUUCACAAGUAAGUAAAUUUAAACCAGUAACUUAUGUUUAUUUAAUUAUAUUUGUAGUGGUGGGCCUAUUUUUUUCGACAGGUAACAUUAAGUUAGCUAAUACUUAAUAUUCUAGUUAGUUUGAUAGUGCUAGCUAAUCAGUUCACCAUGCAACAGUUAUUACCACGCUCAAAAGGAUAGCUUAUGUGUACAAUUUCACGUAACGCUCAAUGUAUGGAACAAAUACAGUUAUAAUUUUCUUAGGUGAAACUCAGAAGUAUGUUAAAGUUGCCCAAACUGAAGAGGGCUAUGAAGACUACAAUACAUUUCUUCAGAAAGGUUUUCAUCACUUCAUUACAUUGAAGUCAUCAGUUUCUAAAAUUUAUUUUCCAUUUACAAUGGGACUGUAAUCUGGUUAUAUUGCCCCAGCCACCAAGUUGUGUUUAUUGUGCUGGGCAGUAAUAAUUUCUUGUCAAGCAGUCCAAAUAUAGAAUCUAAAAUGCAGAAAAAGAAAAACACCUGACACUGCUCAGAAUACUACAAUUGUUAACAUUUUUUAAUACUACUAAUAAUGGGAAAUGCACUGUUUUUCUUUAUUUUCCUAAAUCUAAUAUUCUCUCAGUCAUAGAAAAGUUAGGUCUUCCAUUGCAGACCGAGCUGCAUGUCACAGAUGAUUCUGGGACAGAAGUGGAUGCGGAUGUGUAUGAGGAGCUUUUAAAAGCAGGGAAUCUUAUCAUUCAUGUGUCCACAGAAAAGUCUACAGUUGUGCUUAAUCAAGAUCUCUCACAUUCUACGUCAGAGUUGCUUGUGUCCGACACGUCAUCCUCUGUGGCGUCUGAUUCAUCAGAUGCAACAGUGAUUCAUGAUAGAAACAAUGUAUAUAAAAGAACCCACAUUGAGCGGGAAUCAGCAAAUGAGAUGGUGAGAAACGUUUUCCAGUCUAAGCCGGGGGGAGAAAAAAUCUUGCACGAGUAUGACAAAACAAAGACAUUGACGGAUGCUACACGGCGACAAAUGGUAAACCUCCUGGUUGCAGACAUGAUGGAAGUACAUGGGUAAGUAUACCAUGUUGGUAACACUUUACUUGAAGGGGUGUGCAUAAUCAUGACAUGUCACAUGUCAUGAGGUUUUAUGCAUGUUUAUGACAACUGUAAUUAAGUAUCAUUCACUCAAUUAUGACAUUUUUAAUGCAAAUGUCAUAACAAAGACAUCUCAAACAAUGUCAUAUUUGCAUUAAAAAUGUACAUAACUGAGCUAAUGACAUUUAAUGACAGUUGUCAUAAACACAGUUGUCAAAUAACUGAGCUAAUGACAUUUAAUGACAGUUGUCAUAAACACAGUUGUCAUAAACACACCCCUUUAAGUAAAGUGUUACCGUUUUGUUUGAUAGGCAUUAAGUCCAUAUUUUUAUCCCUCUUGAAGGGGGAAAAAGCUUGAACAAUAAUAUAUUUUCUACUUUAAAGGAGAAUACCACCAACCCAUGUGCGAACAAAAUAUGCUGUUGGCAUCACCACUCUAUUUCCCAACCUUAGUGAUCCAUACUCUGGAAACGGAUAUGUAAGUUUUUUUUAAUUAAUGGCUUAUAUUGCAAUAUAUGAAGAAUGUGAGAAUGUGUAUGUUCUUAAUUUCUUCUUAUGUUGCCAUGUGGUGAUGUGACCCCUGUGUUGCAUACUUUUGUUCUUUUUGGGUUUUACAGGAACACUACUAUGAUGCAGAAAGUGGGUCUGGCUACUUGGCCUGGAGGAUAAAGACCGUUCAGCGCAACACUGCAGUUCAAUCUCGGAGAUGCUCCACCAGCACUACGUAUGGUCCAAAGAGCAAGAGGGAUUUUCUCCUGGCUGACAAGCAACUGUUCGGCGAGGAAUGCCGUGAGGCAAUAUCCUUAUUGAAACAUUCAACUGAUGUGUCAGUUGUCAAAGAUAAGAUGAUGGCAACAUUUCAAUACCGCCAGACGCUAGUUCAGGACCAGCAAAACUCUGCAACAGUCUUGGAUGUGUUCCCGCGGUUUCUCGACAUCCCCGGCUUGGUAAGAAAGACAUACCUUUGUUUGAUCAGCGUAUUUUUGAAGUGAACAAUUAUGACUCAAUAUUCUUUCAGUAUCAAGGACUUAAGGUGUUUCUUCUGUAGAUUGACCAAGAUUUUACCAUGAUGUUUGGAGAAGAGGUUUCUGGCAGAUUUUUGGCAAAAUGGCCGACGUACUUCAAACCCAGGCUCCUGGCAGACUGCAAGAACCGGACUUCUAAUGAGCAUGUUGAAGAACUCUUGUCUGCGCAGCAAAACUCAAAUGAGUCUGGUAAGUGUGCCUCAUUCUGCCUUUAAAACAUUUACACAACAGAUUCUUAUCUUCUUACCUUAAGUAUUGUCUUUGGCAUAAUCUGUCAUUUUUUAAAUAAUAUUUUAAGAUAGAAAUGUUUCUGAACAUCUUACACUUAAUUCUACUUUGCUCCUAGGCUGGGACAGUGACCUGUCAAGCGUUCUACUGCUGGUUCACCUGCUCCCCCCUACGUCAAAAGGCCACAAGAAGAGUGCUAAGAUUAGCUCAUAUCAAGCUGUCAACCAUGUGGCGAGAUAUCUUAAGGUAUUUUGUGUUUAAUGUUUUUCAUCCACUUGUUCUCAUACUGCCGUUGCUUGUGUUGCAUAACUUAAAUUAAUAUUUUCUGUCUCUGUGUUUGUCACAGAUUGGAGCCAGUGUUGAGGCCUUCCUAGGGAGCUUGGAACCAGGACAGCCCUUCCUCCUCUGUGUUGGUGAACAGAAGAACAACAUUCAGAGGUUCUAUGUCAUCGUUGACCAGAAGGCCAUUCCUUGCAAGGAGCAAACAUCCCUGGCAGCUUUCGAUGAGCUUUUCAAGGCACACUUCAUCUUCAGUGUUAACUACCAUGAAUCCCUCAACAGCUUCUACACAUUCAUCCAAACCACAGUGUUUAAAGGGGGGGGGUGAAAUGCUCAUUCUCACUCAAUCUCCUGUUAAUCUUGAGUACCUAUAGAGUAGUACUGCAUCCUUCAUAUCUCCAAAAAGUCUUUAGUUUUAGUAUAUUUAUAAGAGAAAGAUAGUCUGUACCGAUUUUUUUUCGGAAAAACACGAGCGGCUGGAGGCGUGACGUGUGGGCGGAGCUAAAGAAUCACAUGCGCUACUUUUACAACAUUUGUGUGUUUACUCGUGGUUUAUAAGGACAUGAAUUGAUUUAUGGAUUAUUGUAUGUGACUUAUCAGUACACACGCGGAACCGUUUUGCACAUCAGACUAAUAUUUCAUAGAA